rnacentral:misc_RNA from 1 species
UCUCCGUAGGUGAACCUGCGGAGGGAUCAUUACCGAGUGAGGGCGCCCCGGCGCCCGACCUCCCAACCCUUUGUGAACCAAACUUGUUGCUUCGGGGGCGACCCUGCCGUUCGCGGCGUGGGGCCCCCGGAGCCCAUCAAACCCUGCGUAACCAAGUCGUCGGAGUUUAAACAAAUUAAACAAAACCUUCAACAACGGAUCUCUUGGUUCGGGCAUCGAUGAAGAACGCAGC